CCUACGGGAGGCAGCAGUGGGGAAUAUUGCACAAUGGGCGCAAGCCUGAUGCAGCCAUGCCGCGUGUGUGAAGAAGGCCUUCGGGUUGUAAAGCACUUUCAGCGAGGAGGAAGGGUUCAGUGUUAAUAGCACUGUUCAUUGACGUUACUCGCAGAAUAAGCACCGGCUAACUACGUGCCAGCAGCCGCGGUAAUACGUAGGGUGCAAGCGUUAAUCGGAAUUACUGGGCGUAAAGCGUGCGCAGGCGGUAGGGCAAGUCAGAUGUGAAAGCCCGGGGCUCAACCCCGGGAUUGCAUUUGAAACUGUCUUACUAGAGUGCAGGAGAGGAAAGCGGAAUUCCUAGUGUAGCGGUGAAAUGCGUAGAUAUUAGGAAGAACACCAGUGGCGAAGGCGGCUUUCUGGACUGUAACUGACGCUGAGGCACGAAAGCGUGGGGAGCGAACAGGAUUAGAUACCCUUGUAGUC
rnacentral:rRNA from 1 species